UUACGACCGUAUCACGUUGAAACAUCGGUACCCGUACGAUCACAGAAGUUAACCAACGUCGAACCUGGUCAGUACCUAAAUGGGUGACCGCUUUGAAAUACCAGGUGCUGUAAG